AUUGAACGCUGGCGGAAUGCUUUACACAUGCAAGUCGAACGGCAGCACGGACUUCGGUCUGGUGGCGAGUGGCGAACGGGUGAGUAAUGUAUCGGAACGUGCCCAGUCGUGGGGGAUAACGUAGUGAAAAUUACGCUAAUACCGCAUACGAUCUAUGGAUGAAAGCGGGGGAUCGCAAGACCUCGCGCGAUUGGAGCGGCCGAUAUCAGAUUAGGUAGUUGGGGGGGUAAAGGCCCACCAAGCCAACGAUCCGUAGCUGGUCUGAGAGGACGACAAGCCACACUGGAACUGAGACACGGUCCAGACUCCUACGGGAGGAAGCAGUGGGGAAUUUUGGACAAUGGGCGAAAGCCUGAUCCAGCCAUUCCGCGUGCAGGAUGAAGGCCCUCGGGUUGUAAACUGCUUUUGUACAGAACGAAAAGGUUUCUACUAAUACUAGGAGCUCAUGACGGUACUGUAAGAAUAAGCACCGGCUAACUACGUGCCAGCAGCCGCCGUAA
rnacentral:rRNA from 1 species